GAAUAAUGAGUUUUAUAGGGACUUUCUUGAUGUAAAAUUAUACAUUUUUUUUUUGUUUAAUGUGGUAUUUCCAUUUUUAUAUAAUUUACUACCAUUUAAAGAUAGAAGUACAUUUUAAGAUAGAUGCUUAAAUCUUAAUGUACUUUUUCCAUUUUUUAAAAUGUUUAUUUCCAUUUCUUAUAUUUUUAUUUACGUAAUAUCUAAAUUUUAUAUUUUUAAAUAGAUAUUUAAAUAUUAAUGCACUUUUUCCAUUUUUUAAAUUGUGUAUUUACUUAUAUUAUAUAUUUUACAUUUUAAGAUAGAUGUUUAAUGCUUGAUGAACUUUUUCCAUUUUUAAAAAAAUAGUGUAUUUACUUAUUAUUACAUAUAUAAUUCAUAUAUUAUAUAUUUACAUUAUUUAC
rnacentral:lncRNA from 1 species